rnacentral:rRNA from 1 species
ACUCAGUGAAAUUGAAUUUGCGGUUAAGAUGCCGUAUACCCGCGGCUAGACGGAAAGACCCCGUGAACCUUUACUAUAGCUUGGCACUGAACAUUGACCCUACAUGUGUAGGAUAGGUGGGAGACUAUGAAACCAUGUCGCUAGAUGUGGUGGAGUCUACCUUGAAAUACCACCCUUGUAUGCGUGAUGUUCUAACCUAGGGCCCUUAUCGGGCUUGGGGACACUGUCUGGUGGGUAGUUUGACUGGGGCGGUCUCCUCCUAAAGAGUAACGGAGGAGCACGAAGGUUGGCUAAGUAUGGUCGGACAUCAUACGGUUAGUGCAAUGGCAUAAGCCAGCUUAACUGCGAGACAGACACGUCGAGCAGGUACGAAAGUAGGUCAUAGUGAUCCGGUGGUUCUGAAUGGAAGGGCCAUCGCUCAACGG